rnacentral:rRNA from 1 species
CCUACGGGAGGCAGCAGUGGGGAAUAUUGGGCAAUGGAGGCAACUCUUACCCAGCAAUGCCGCGUGAAUGAAGAAGGUCUUCGGAUUGUAAAGCUCUAUCGGCAGGGAAGAAGCAAGACGGUACCUGACUAAGAAGCCCCGGCUAACUACGUGCCAGCAGCCGAGGUAAUACGUAGGGGGCGAGCGUUAUCCGGAUUCACUGGGUGUAACGGGAGCGUAGACGGCCAUGCAAGCCAGGGGUGAAAGCCCGGGGCCCACCCCCGGGACUGCCCUUGGAACUGCAUGGCUGGAGUGCGGGAGGGGCAGGCGGAAUUCCUGGUGUAGCGGUGAAAUGCGUAGAUAUCAGGAGGAACACCGGCGGCGAAGGCGGCCUGCUGGACCGCGACUGACGUUGAGGCUCGAAAGCGUGGGGAGCGAACAGGAUUAGAUACCCUGUAGUC